AGUGAACGCUGGCGGUAGGCCUAACACAUGCAAGUCGAACGGCAGCACAGUAAGAGCUUGCUCUUACGGGUGGCGAGUGGCGGACGGGUGAGGAAUACAUCGGAAUCUACUUUUUCGUGGGGGAUAACGUAGGGAAACUUACGCUAAUACCGCAUACGACCUACGGGUGAAAGCAGGGGAUCUUCGGACCUUGCGCGAUUGAAUGAGCCGAUGUCGGAUUAGCUAGUUGGCGGGGUAAAGGCCCACCAAGGCGACGAUCCGUAGCUGGUCUGAGAGGAUGAAUCAGCAACAUGGGAACUGGACACGGGUCCGACCCCCAAGGGGAGGAACAGUGGGGAAAUAUUGGACAAGGGGCGAAAGCUGAUCCAACCAAAACGGGGGGGGGAAGGAAGGCCUCGGGGUUGUAAAGCCUUUUGGUUGGAAAAAAAAAGAAGCAGGUUAAUCCCCCGCUGUUCGGACGGAACCAAAGGAUAAGGAACGGCCAAAUUUGUG
rnacentral:rRNA from 1 species